AUUGAACGCUGGCGGCAUGCCUUACACAUGCAAGUCGAACGGCAGCACGGGAGCAAUCCUGGUGGCGAGUGGCGAACGGGUGAGUAAUAUAUCGGAACGUGCCCAGUCGUGGGGGAUAACGUAGCGAAAGCUACGCUAAUACCGCAUACGAUCUAUGGAUGAAAGCGGGGGAUCGCAAGACCUCGCGCGAUUGGAGCGGCCGAUAUCAGAUUAGGUAGUUGGUGAGGUAAAGGCUCAUCAAGCCGACGAUCUGUAGCUGGUCUGAGAGGACGACCAGCCACACUGGGACUGAGACACGGCCCAGACUCCUACGGGAGGCAGCAGUGGGGAAUUUUGGACAAUGGGCGCAAGCCUGAUCCAGCAAUGCCGCGUGCAGGAUGAAGGCCUUCGGGUUGUAAACUGCUUUUGUACGGAACGAAACGGCGAGCCCUAAUACAGUUUGCUAAUGACGGUACCGUAAGAAUAAGCACCGGCUAACUACGUGCCAGCCGCCGCGGUAA
rnacentral:rRNA from 1 species